rnacentral:rRNA from 1 species
CCAGAUCUCAGAUCAAGUAAGAUUA